GGUAUUUUUUUUUUUCCCCGGACAUUUUUUUUUUCUUUUUUAUUGUAAAAACAUUAAUUAUAAAUAUUGUUACAUAAAAUCAAAAUGUUUACAAUAAAAUAUACGCUUAUUCUUUAAGCGCGACGCUUGCGAUGGGCGGCAGAGGGUUGCAUUACAUAUCUAACAAGACAAACAAAUACGCACACCAAUAAUGAAUACAAAUUAAUUUAAAUAUAAUAAAUUAAUAGCUUAGAACAGGACAAAGUGAUAUAAGACAAUAUUAAUAACGGUACAUUUGAGAACUCUUUAGACACCGUCCCGUUCUUUACAUUUAAAUAUGAUUUCCUUAAGUUAUUAAAUUAUUUUAUCGAAACUAAAUACUAACCAUAAGUUAAUUUGUCAUUUUUUAUACAAGCAGCUAAAAUUCUAAUAGAUUCACGAAUUGAAGAGUAUAAUACGGGGUUUUUUUUUUUUUUUAAAAAUACAAUGGUAUUGAAUUGUAAUGUACUCGUAAUUAUUAAAGUCCGGAUUUGAAUACACUAAAAUGUCUCUCUAAAAAAAAAAAAAAUGAAGCUAAACACUUAUUUUACCUCGAAAAUGCCCUAAAAAACUGUUUAAUUCGCUAUUUUAUAGAGUAGUUUAUAAUAUUCUAUAUUUAAAAUUUGACUUGUGACCAGCGGUGACAGUAUCGACUGCAGAGAGGCCGAUUGACUGGAAAACCCGAAACACGCGGAUAAUAUUUUGAAUCGACUAAAUUCAAAUGACUACACUAGUAUAUCGCGAUUAAGCGAAAAAAAAAUAAAUCUAAAAACGCAAAAAAUGGGGGGGGGGGAAAGGCGAACCGAAAGUUUCACCUUUGAAGUGUCUACGAGACAACAAACGCGCGUCGAAUUAUGCACGCGGAAUUGCGUUGUCAAACUGAAUCUCUAAGAGUAAAAAAAAAAAAAGACGCAUUUCGCGCAUUGAAAUCCGGGGGAGGGGAGGCUAAUAAUUCGCGGGCGAGAACCACGGCGUUCUCGGCGGGGACGCGAAUCGAAGCCGUUUGCUUUCCCACCCACCCCCCACCUCCUUUCCGUUUCGGCCGGACGCUUUGUCGCCGUCAUUAAUGCGGCGGCGCCCGCGAAAAUUCGUUACACGCCACACCGAAAUAUCGCGCGCGACAACAAUGCGGCGCGCGCGUUGUCAUUGCUGUUACACGGUCCGUUAGUACGGGCGGCUGCGGGCGGUCUCUUUUCGCGAAUAAUAAUAAUAUCGUGUUGACGUUAAUUUCUCCGCGGCGCGUCCGUUUCGCCGCCCCGUCGACGCGGCGCGGCGGGGCGUUAGGGGGCAUGUAUGGGGACCGGGCGGCGGCCGGGGAAAAAAAAAAAAAACAAAACACGUUAUCAUAACAAUACGGUAAAUACGCGGCGCGGCGACACCCCAAUAGUAGCGCCGCCGAGCCGAACGCUAAUGGCGUAUUAAAACCCGGCGCGCGUGUGCCGCGCAUUAUCCGCGCCCGCCGCCCCCCCCGGCACAACACGAUGGUGUACGCAGCGCGGACGACGGUUUUUAUUAUUGUUUCCCCCCUCCCCUCCACCGGACGGAUCGCGGAACGCGCGCGCAGAGAGUGAGUGAAAACCCUGCCACCUCCCCACCCGAGCGGAAAACAAUUACGCGCGAAAAGGGGUCGAACGGAGCGCGGCCCCUGCGCGGUUUUUCGGGUCCCGGUCUAAUUGUAUAUAUUAUACGGGCGAUGCGCCGACCGGCUUUUCGGCGUGUACACCAAACAACAACAACAAAAACGAUACGCGCACGACGUACGUAUAUAACGGCGAAACCGCCCGCUUCCGACCCCUCGGGCGCGUUUAUUAUCGAAACGUUCGUGAAAAAAAAAAAAACAAAUAAAUACAAUUUUCGGUUUUUUCUCUACUCCCCGCCACCGCGCAAUGUGCGUGUGUGUACAACGACGUCCGCACCCCUGUAGCGCACCACCGCCGCCGCCUAUUUUUUUUUUUUCGGUCGUCGAUUUCGCACGCCCGGGAAAAAUUCGGCGCG